AAGCUGCCAACAUGGCCGCGCUAACCAACGCUACGACGCUCCGCCAGACGACAGCACUGCAGCUUGUCAAUCUAGUUCCGGCGGUCGCUGUUAACACGUG